rnacentral:rRNA from 1 species
CAGCAGCCACGGUAAUACGUAGGUCCCGAGCGUUGUCCGGAUUUAUUGGGCGUAAAGCGAGCGCAGGCGGUUAGAUAAGUCUGAAGUUAAAGGCUGUGGCUUAACCAUAGUAUGCUUUGGAAACUGUUUAACUUGAGUGCAGAAGGGGAGAGUGGAAUUCCAUGUGUAGCGGUGAGAUGCGUAGAUAUAUGGAGGAACACCGGUGGCGAAAGCGGCUCUCUGGCUUGUAACUGACGCUGAGGCUCGAAAGCGUGGGGAGCAAACAGGAUUAGAUACCCCCGUAGUCCCUGUCUCUUAUACA